CCUACGGGAGGCAGCAGUGGGGAAUAUUGGGCAAUGGAGGAAACUCUGACCCAGCGACGCCGCGUGCGGGAUGAAGGCCUUCGGGUUGUAAACCGCUUUCAGUAGGGAAGAAGGCGAAAGUGACGGUACCUACAGAAGAAGCACCGGCUAACUAUGUGCCAGCAGCCGCGGUAAUACAUAGGGUGCAAGCGUUGUCCGGAAUUAUUGGGCGUAAAGAGCUCGUAGGUGGUUCGUUCACGUCGGAUGUGAAAAUCUGGGGCUCAACCCNCAC
rnacentral:rRNA from 1 species